UACAGAGGCCUCGAGCGUUAGGCGGAAUCACUGGGCUUAAAGCGUGUGUAGGCGGAUCGUUAAGUGUCUUGUGAAAUCCCACGGCUCACCCGUGGAACUGCUGGGCAUACUGGCGAUCUUGGGCCAACUAGGGGCAACUGGAACAAGCGGUGGAGCGGUGAAAUGCGUGGAUAUCGCUUGGAACGCCAACGGUGAAAACAGGUAGCUGGGAUUGUGCUGACGCUGAGACACGAAAGCCAGGGGAGCGAACGGG
rnacentral:rRNA from 1 species